UACAGAGGGUGCGAGCGUUAAUCGGAAUUACUGGGCGUAAAGCGUGCGUAGACGGUUACGUAAGUCGGGUGUGAAAGCCCCGGGCUCAACCUGGGAAUUGCAUUCGAGACUGCGCAGCUAGGGUGCGGAAGAGGGAAGCGGAAUUUCCGGUGUAGCGGUGAAAUGCGUAGAUAUCGGAAGGAACAUCAGUGGCGAAAGCGGCUUCCUGGUCCAGCACCGACGCUCAGGCACGAAAGCGUGGGGAGCAAACAGG
rnacentral:rRNA from 1 species